rnacentral:lncRNA from 10 species
UUUUCAAUGAAUACUAGGAUAAGCAACUAUCCCAGUCUUCCCAGGAUUGAGGGGCUUCUCCAGAUGCUGCACUUCUGGUGCUAAAAAUGAGAAACUGAAAUGAAUUAGUCACCCAAGGAAUGCUGACCCUGUGCUAUAUGAUCACAUUUACUCUUUAAAGCAAUGCUUUGAGGUUGUCUUUUCACUUUCUUGCUAAUGUCCUUGGAUGAUCCACAACUUUUCCAAAGCAGGCCAAGCUAUAAAUAAAGGGUGGACUGACCUUGUCAACUGUUAAAUUGGAGCCGUGGUGCGUUGCCUAGAACAUUGCGGAUGACCCCGAGCAGCACAGCAGAUCAACGGCUGAGAAAGAGCUCAUUCAGCUCAUCUAACUAGGAUGCUGUCCUGCCAGAGCCCUGGGGGUUCUCGUCUCCUGGGGCAAAAGCAGCAUGCAACCCUUAUGAACCCAUCUUGGAAGGCAUUCGGGGAGCCCAAGACAAGACCAUUGGGAGCCUCAGGGUCACUUGUGGGGGUCUCUGUGCUGGACGGCUGUACCUCUCAUGAAAUGGACAACUGACCAUAAGAAGGAG